GGAGGUGCAGAGAAUCUGGAUGUGGUGUCUGUCACCCCAUUCAUCACUGGAGUUGAUUUGGAUGGCUAAGCAGGUGUCUCCUUCCUCUUACACGGCUCUGUGUGUGUUACUCCUAUAACUACAUGCUCCAUGGAAGAGGAUGACACUCCUAACAGGUCGAAGAUAUAGGAGCGCCUUACUCUCUCCUUCUAGAAGCUCUGAACCAGCUCCCCAGUGUACAAUGCAUUUCAAAGGACAGGUCAGCAGGCCCCGAUCUCUCCAGCUCCUGCUUCACCUCUGUAGGGCUUUGAGGGCA
ensembl:misc_RNA 7SK 7SK RNA